rnacentral:misc_RNA from 1 species
GAUGAAGAACGUAGUGAAAUGCGAUAAGUAAUGUGAAUUGCAGAAUUCAGUGAAUCAUCGAAUCUUUGAACGCACAUUGCGCCCCCUGGUAUUCCGGGGGGCAUGCCUGUCCGAGCGUCAUUACAACCCUCAAGCUCAGCUUGGUGUUGGGCCCCGCCGCCCCGGCGGGCCCUAAAGUCAGUGGCGGUGCCGUCCGGCUCCGAGCGUAGUAAUUCUUCUCGCUCUGGAGGUCCGGUCGUGUGCUUGCCAGCAACCCCCAAUUUUUUUCAGGUUGACCUCGGAUCAGGUAGGGAUACCCGCUGAACUUAAGCAUAUCAAUAGCGGAGGA